rnacentral:rRNA from 1 species
UACGAAGGGGGCUAGCGUUGCUCGGAAUUACUGGGCGUAAAGCGCACGUAGGCGGUCUUUUAAGUCGGGGGUGAAAUCCUGGAGCUCAACUCCAGAACUGCCUUCGAUACUGGAAGACUUGAGUCCGGGAGAGGUGAGUGGAACUGCGAGUGUAGAGGUGAAAUUCGUAGAUAUUCGCAAGAACACCAGUGGCGAAGGGCGGCUCACUGGCCCGGUACUGACGCUGAGGUGCGAAGCGUGGGGAGCAACAGG